ACUCUCGGCAACGGAUAUCUUGGCUCUCGCAUCGAUGAAGAACGUAGCAAAAUGCGAUAGCUGGUGUGAAUUGCAGAAUCCCGUGAACCAUCGAGUCUUUGAACGCAAGUUGCGCCUGAAGCCGUCAGGCCGAGGGCACGCCUGCCUGGGUGUC
rnacentral:rRNA from 1 species